rnacentral:rRNA from 1 species
UUGAUCAUGGCUCAGGAUGAACGCUAGCGGCAGGCUUAAUACAUGCAAGUCGAGGGGCAGCAGCUUUAUAGCAAUAUAGAGGCUGGCGACCGGCAAACGGGUGCGGAACACGUACACAACCUUCCUUUAAGUGGGGGAUAGCCCAUAGAAAUGUGGAUUAAUACCCCGUAAUAUUAUUGAAGUGGCAUCACUUUAUAAUUAUAGUUUCGACGCUUGAAGAUGGGUGUGCGGCUGAUUAGGUAGUUGGCGGGGUAAAGGCCCACCAAGCCUUCGAUCAGUAGCUGAUGUGAGAGCAUGAUCAGCCACACGGGCACUGAGACACGGGCCCGACUCCUACGGGAGGCAGCAGUAAGGAAUAUUGGUCAAUGGACGCAAGUCUGAACCAGCCAUGCCGCGUGAAGGAUGCAGGUCCUCUGGAUUGUAAACUUCUUUUAUAGGGGGCGAAAAAAGGGAAUUCUUUCUCACUUGACAGUACCCUAUGAAUAAGCACCGGCUAACUCCGUGCCAGCAGCCGCGGUAAUACGGAGGUGCAAGCGUUAUCCGGAUUCACUGGGUUUAAA